rnacentral:rRNA from 1 species
GUGAGGAAUAUUGGUCAAUGGGCGGGAGCCUGAACCAGCCAAGUCGCGUGAAGGAAGAAGGAUCUAUGGUUCGUAAACUUCUUUUGCAGGGGAAUAAAGUGCAGGACGUGUCCUGUUUUGUAUGUACCCUGAGAAUAAGGAUCGGCUAACUCCGUGCCAGCAGCCGCGGUAAUACGGAGGAUCCGAGCGUUAUCCGGAUUUAUUGGGUUUAACGGGUGCGUAGGUGGUUUGAUAAGUCAGCGGUGAAAGUUUGCAGCUUAACUGUAAAAAUGCCGUUGAAACUGUCGGACUUGAGUGUAAAUGAGGUAGGCGGAAUGCGUGGUGUAGCGGUGAAAUGCAUAGAUAUCACGCAGAACUCCGAUUGCGAAGGCAGCUUACUAAGCUACAACUGACACUGAAGCACGAAAGCGUGGGGAUCAAACAGGAUUAGAAACCCGUGUAGUCC